rnacentral:rRNA from 1 species
UACGUAGGGUGCAAGCGUUGUCCGGAAUUAUUGGGCGUAAAGAGCUCGUAGGCGGUCUGUCGCGUCGGCUGUGAAAUCCCGAGGCUCAACCUCGGGUCUGCAGUCGAUACGGGCAAACUAGAGUAUUGCAGGGGAGACUGGAAAUUCCUGGUGUAGCGGUGAAAUGCGCAGAUAUCAGGAGGAACACCGGUGGCGAAGGCGGGUCUCUGGGCAAUAACUGACGCUGGAGGAGCGAAA